rnacentral:rRNA from 1 species
UACGUAGGGUGCAAGCGUUGUCCGGAAUUAUUGGGCGUAAAGAGCUCGUAGGCGGUUUGUCGCGUCUGCUGUGAAAACCCGAGGCUCAACCUCGGGCCUGCAGUGGGUACGGGCAGACUAGAGUGCGGUAGGGGAGAUUGGAAUUCCCGGUGUAGCGGUGAAAUGCGCAGAUAUCGGGAAGAACACCCGUGGCGAAGGCGGCUCUCUGGGACGGUACUGACGCUGAGGAGCGAAAGCGUGGGGGAGCGAACAGG